GUCAGUAUAGCUCAGUGGUAGAGUGCAUGCUUAGCAUGCAGGAGGUCCUGGGUUCAAUACCCAGUACCUCCA
rnacentral:tRNA from 1 species